rnacentral:snRNA from 1 species
GGGCUCACUUUGGCAGCACAGCUACUAAAAUUGGAACGAUACCGAGAGGAUUAGCAUGGCCCCUCUGCAAAGAUGACAUACAAAUUUGUGAAGCAUUCCAUACUUUA